UGCAAGGAAGCAAAAGGAGCUGAGAAGCUGUUCGGAGACCUCGGCUGUUUCUGUUGGAAUAAUGUGGAAUCUAAUGUCGUACGACAAGCCGGUUUUAUCUGGCCUGCUUUAAAACAAGACGCUCGGAGCCAUACAGAAGAAAAAAUGCAAAUCUGUGCUAAUUGCUAAAGAGAAAAGGAGACGAGGGCCAGUUAAUCAAGAAAGCUGCUUAAAGCAAUGCCAAAAUAACUCCACACCUCCUGACCUGAACAAACUGAGCACGCCACUGUGCAUGUGGCUUUCCACAGAAACUCAGCUGGGCUUUAAGGAUUGCUCUUAAGCCUGACAUGUUUGGCAGCUAUACAGCUUAAAUGUGACAACACUCCUUUUAGAGAUCUGCUUCCAUUCAUAUACGGAGGGUGGUGCGGACGGACCAGUACAUCACUGGGGCCGAGCUCCCAAACAUCGAAGACAUCUAUGCCAGGCGGUGUCUGAGGAAGGCCCCAAAAAUUGGAGAAGGGAAGUCCCACAGGGAGACAUUUCUGAGUUGUCUGAAGAACGCUGCACAUCUCUGGCCGGUGGUGGCUGGUCCUCUUCAAGAAGCUGAUGUAAGUGAGGUCCCUCCGCCCCCCAUGGACAUUGAGGGGGCGCUGGCGUAUGCAGUUCGGUCCAUACUGGACUCGAGGCGUCGGGUGAGGGGCCUUCAGUACCUCGUGGAUUGGGAGGGGUACGGUCCGGAGGAGAGAUGCUGGGUGUCAGUAGAGGACAUAUUGAACCCAUCUAUGGUGAAAGAGUUUCACCGCCUCCAUCCAGAUCGCCCUGCGCCUCG
ensembl:lncRNA